rnacentral:tRNA from 1 species
UAUUUAUUAGUUUACCUUAAAACAUUACAUUUUCAUUGUAAAAAUAAAAAAAAUUUUUUUAUAAAUA